rnacentral:rRNA from 1 species
AGCAGCCGCGGUAAUUCCAGCUCCAAUAGCGUAUAUUAAAGUUGUUGCAGUUAAAAAGCUCGUAGUUGAAUUUCGGGGUUAGUAGAUUGGUCAUGCCUCUGGUAUGUACUGGUCUCACUGAUUCCUCCUUCCUGAUGAUCCGUAAUGUCAUUAAUUUGGUGUUGCGGGGAAUUUGGACUGUUACUUUGAAAAAAUUAGAGUGUUUAAAGCAAGCUAACGCUUGAAUACAUUAGCAUGGAAUAAUGAAAUAGGACGUUCGAUCCUAUUUUGUUGGUUUCUAGGAUUGACGUAAUGAUUAAUAGGGAUAGUUGGGGGCAUUAGUAUUCAAUUGUCAGAGGUGAAAUUCUUGGAUUUAUUGAAGACUAACUACUGCGAAAGCAUUUGCCAAGGAUGUUUUCAUUAAUCAAGAACGAAAGUUAGGGGAUCGAAGACGAUCAGAUACCGUCGUAGUCUUAACCAUAAACUAUGCCGACUAGGGAUCGGAUGAUGUUAAUUUUUUAAUGACUCA